rnacentral:rRNA from 1 species
GGCAUCCUCUGACAAUCCUAGAGAUAGGACUUCCCCUUCGGGGGCAGAGUGACAGGUGGUGCAUGGUUGUCGUCAGCUCGUGUCGUGAGAUGUUGGGUUAAGUCCCGCAACGAGCGCAACCCUUGAUCUUAGUUGCCAGCAUUCAGUUGGGCACUCUAAGGUGACUGCCGGUGACAAACCGGAGGAAGGUGGGGAUGACGUCAAAUCAUCAUGCCCCUUAUGACCUGGGCUACACACGUGCUACAAUGGACAGAACAAAGGGCAGCGAAACCGCGAGGUUAAGCCAAUCCCACAAAUCUGUUCUCAGUUCGGAUCGCAGUCUGCAACUCGACUGCGUGAAGCUGGAAUCGCUAGUAAUCGCGGAUCAGCAUGCCGCGGUGAAUACGUUCCCGGGCCUUGUACACACCGCCCGUCACACCACGAGAGUUUGUAACACCCGAAGUCGGUGAGGUAACCUUUUAGGAGCCAGCCGCCGAAA